rnacentral:rRNA from 1 species
GUGAUAGGGUACUUUUUGUAGAACGGUCCGGCGAGCGAUUGUAUGCAGCAAGGUUAAGGACUUAAGGUCUGGAGCCGAAGCGAAAGCGAGUUUGAAAAGGGCGUUAAGUUGCAUAUAAUGGGCCCGAAACCGGGUGACCUACCCAUGGUCAGGUUGAAGUGGAAGUAAAAUUCCAUGGAGGACCGAACCGACCUCCGUUGAAAAGGCGGCGGAUGAACUGUGGGUAGCGGAGAAAUUCCAAUCGAACCCGGAGAUAGCUGGUUCUCCCCGAAAUAGUUUUAGGACUAGCCUCAAGUUAGAUACCUGGAGGUAAAGCACUGAAUAGCCUAGCGGCCGAGAGGUUAGCGAAGCUUAUCAAACUCAGAAUGCCAGAGUAUUGAUGCUUGGGAGUCAGACAGUGUCAGAUAAAUGUCAUUGUCAAAAGGGAAACAGCCCAGAUCUACAGCUAAGGUCCCAAAGUCAGGUUAAGUGGAAAACGAUGUGAAGAUACGCAGACAACCAGGAUGUUGGCUCAGAAGCAGCCACUCAUUCAAAGAGUGCGUAAUAGCUCACUGGUCGAGCGUCUUUGCGCGGAGAAUUUAACGGGGCUAAACCUGACACCGAAGCUUAGGCAAUGUAGUAAUACAUUGGGUAGGGGAGCGUUGUAUACGCGGAGAAACAGUAGCGCAAGCGGCUGUGGAGUGUAUAGAAGUGAGAAUGCCGGAAUGAGUAGCGCGAAUGCAGUGAGAAUCUGCAUGGCCGAAAGCCUCAGGUUUCUGGAGGAAGGUUCGUCCGCUCCAGGUUAGUCGGGAGCUAAGGUGAGGCCGGAAGGCGUAGCCGAUGCACAGACGGUAGAGAUUCCGUCACCACCAAAAGAGUUAAGCACAGGGACACAUAUGAAGUCUCAGAGCCGGGUGUUGGUUCCGGUAGAGAUCGAGGGAAGUUAGUACCGAAGUCUGAGAUGGAAGAUGGCGAGAAAAGCUGUGUGUAUUUCUGAGGUGCCCGUACCGCAAACCGACACAGGUAGGUAGGAAGAAGAUUCUAAGGCCAACGGGAGAAGGGUUGUUAAGGAACUCGGCAAAUUGACCCCGUAACUUCGGGAGAAGGGGUGCUCCAGAGAUGGAGCCGCAGAGAAUCGGCCCAAGCAACUGUUUACCAAAAACACAGGUUUGUGCUAAAUCGAAAGAUGACGUAUACGAGCUGACGCCUGCCCGGUGCUGGAAGGUUAAGAGGAGAUGUGCAAGCAUUGAAUCGAAGCCCCAGUGAACGGCGGCCGUAACUAUAACGGUCCUAAGGUAGCGAAAUUCCUUGUCAGGUAAGUUCUGACCCGCAUGAAAGGCGUAAUGAUUUGGGCACUGUCUCAACAGCCCGCCCGGCGAAAUUGUAGUACCGGUGAAGAUGCCGGUUACCCGCGACAAGACGGAAAGACCCCAUGGAGCUUUACUGUAGCCUAAUAUUGGGUUUCGAUGUUGCAUGCACAGGAUAGAUGGGACUCUUGGAAACCAAGGCUUUGGCUUUGGCGGAGAGGCCGUUGGGAUACCAUCCUUGCGAUAUUGGAAUUCUAACCUGCGGCUCUGAAUCGAGUCGGGGGACAUUGUUAGGUGGGCAGUUUGACUGGGGCGGUCGCCUCCUAAAGAGUAACGGAGGCGUUCAAAGGUUCGCUCAGCUUGAACGGAAAUCAAGCAAAAGAGUGCAAACGCAGAAGCGAGCCUAACUGCGAGACUGACGGGUCGAGCAGUAACGAAAGUUGGAGUUAGUGAUCCGGUGGUAUGUGAGUGGAAAUGCCAUCGCUCAACGGAUAAAAGUUACCCUGGGGAUAACAGGCUGAUCUCCCCCAAGAGUCCACAUCGACGGGGAGGUUUGGCACCUCGAUGUCGGCUCAUCGCAUCCUGGGGCUGUAUUCGGUCCCAAGGGUUUGGCUGUUCGCCAAUUAAAGCGGUACGCGAGCUGGGUUCAGAACGUCGUGAGACAGUUCGGUCCCUAUCUGUCGUGGGCGCAGGAUAUUUGAUGGGAGCUGUCCCUAGUACGAGAGGACCGGGACGGACGUACCUCUGGCGCACCAGUUGUUCCGCCAGGAGCAUAGCUGGGCAACUACGUACGGAUCGGAUAAACGCUGAAAGCAUCUAAGCGUGAAGCCGACCCAAAGAUAAGAUAUCCCACUGAUUCAAUCAGGUAAGAUCCCUUGUAGACUACGAGGUUGAUAGGCACGAUGUGUAAGUGGAGUGAUCCAUUCAGCAAGUGUGUACUAAUAGAUCGAGGGCUUGACCACA